GACGUAGGAUGCGAGCGUUAUUCGGAUUUAUUGGGCGUAAAGCGUGCGUAGGCGGCUGUUUAAGUCUGGUGUUAAAGCUAGGGGCUCAACCCCUGUGAUGCACUGGAAACUGGGCAGCUUGAGUGCGGUAGGGGAAGGUGGAAUUCCGAGUGUAGCGGUGAAAUGCGUAGAUAUUCGGAAGAACACCGGUGGCGAAGGCGGGUCUCUGGGCCGUAACUGACGCUGAGGAGCGAAAGCAUGGGGAGCGAACAGG
rnacentral:rRNA from 1 species